AUGGGCCGGAUAGCCCGUGUGCCCGCACCGUGGUCUGCACGGAACCGCCUCUGCAACGGUAAUCUUCGCACCGCACCGCGUUGCCGACCGACCGACCGACCCCUCGCCCUGCCCACCCGGUCCGCAUCAAGACCCAACCCACCACCACCAGCUCCACUCCCCUCCUGUUUCCGCCGCCCGCCCAAGCCGCCUCCGGCAAGGACCUGGCCGGCGCCACCGCCCCUUCCCCGGCGGCCCGCCCACGGCCAGGCGCGCCUUGUCCUCCCUCCCUGCGCUCUGGCCAUGGCCCGCCGGUGUGCUCCUCCUCCCUUCGUCCGGGGCCCCGGGUCGUGCCUCCCGCCUCGCCUCGCCUCCUCGCGCCUGGUUUGGAUUCGCUCGUCCUCGAUUCGCCGCCCGUUUAGAGUUGCCGUCCGGUUCGAUUUUGCUCGUCGCCGUCAUCCGUGUGGAAUCGCGUACGCUUCGAUUUUGCUCGUCCUCGCCGUCGUCUGUGGAGUAGCGUCCGAUUCGAUUUUGCUCGUCUUCGUCGUCGUCCGUGUCGAGUCGCGUCCGGUUCGAUUUCGCUCGUCCUCGCCGUUGUCCCGAUGCGCUCGCGUGGUCCGUCUCGCCUCGUCGGGGGUGGAUUACGGCCGGAGACGGGGAGCGAUGUUCGUUUAUCGUGCUAGUUCAGACCGGUACAGACUUGUGGAUCUGGACAUGUCAAAUUUGCUCUUUAUUGGGUUGCUAAGGACACUGAACAGUUUGGCUGGGCCACUGCACGGCCUGGCUAAUCAGGUUGUUCCUGGCUAUGGUCAUGGAGUUCUACGUAAUACAGACCCAAGAUACUCGUGCCAAAGGGGGUUUACAUUGAAAUAUUUACCCGACCCAAGAUACUCAUGCCGAAGGGAGUUCACAUUGAAAUAUUUACCCGAGGACCCACUUUUCCAACUGGUACAGCCAUGUAGAUCUAGACAUGAUGCUAAUGGGUUGGGUUUGCAUAUAAUGCAGUAUGGACCAACAAAAUGGUCUCAUUGCAAGGUGGACACACUGAGAGAAGCUUGGACUAUUGAGGAGGAACAUGCACUGAUUAAUGCCCAUAGGGUAUAUGGGAAUAGAUGGGAAGAAAUAGCAAAAGUUUUUCCUAGAAGGAAUCGGGUACUUCUAUUUGUUCUUAGGUUCUUCUCACCUAUAGCUAAAGUCAAAGACGACAAAACCAAGUGGAUUAUUGGAGUUACAAGAUACACAAAAUCAUCGGAACGAAGAUCUGAAUCACCCUCCCGCCUCGAGAGAAAUCAGUUUAGUCAUUCAGGUUCUGAUCUAGACAUGAUGCUGAUGGGUUGGCUUUGCAUACAAUGCAGUAUGGACCAACAAAAUGGUCUCAUUGCAAGGUGGACAUAUAGGCAAGAAAUGUCAAGAGAGAGAGAAGCUUGGACUAUUGAGGAGGAAUCUGCACUGAUUAAUGCCCAUCGGGUAUAUGGGAAUAGAUGGGCAGAAAUAGCAGAAGUUCUUCCUAGAAGGAAUCGGAUACUUCUAUUUGUUCUUAGGUUCUUCUCACCUAUAGCUAAAGUCAAAGACGACAAAACCAAGUGGAUUAUUGUUGAUACAAGAUACACAAAAUCAUCGGAACGAAGAUCUGAAUCACCCUCCCGCCUCGAGAGAAAUCAGUUUAGUCAUUCAGGUUCUGAUCUAGACAUGAUGCUGAUGGGUUGGCUUUGCAUACAAUGCAGUAUGGACCAACAAAAUGGUCUCAUUGCAAGGUGGACAUAUAGGCAAGAAAUGUCAAGAGAGAGAGAAGCUUGGACUAUUGAGGAGGAAUCUGCACUGAUUAAUGCCCAUCGGGUAUAUGGGAAUAGAUGGGCAGAAAUAGCAGAAGUUCUUCCUAGAAGGAAUCGGAUACUUCUAUUUGUUCUUAGGUUCUUCUCACCUAUAGCUAAAGUCAAAGACGACAAAACCAAGUGGAUUAUUGUUGUUACAAGAUACACAAAAUCAUCGGAACGAAGAUCUGAAUCACCCUCCCGCCUCGAGAGAAAUCAGUUUAGUCAUUCAGGUUCUGAUCUAGACAUGAUGCUGAUGGGUUGGCUUUGCAUACAAUGCAGUAUGGACCAACAAAAUGGUCUCAUUGCAAGGUGGACAUAUAGGCAAGAAAUGUCAAGAGAGAGAGAAGCUUGGACUAUUGAGGAGGAAUCUGCACUGAUUAAUGCCCAUCGGGUAUAUGGGAAUAGAUGGGCAGAAAUAGCAGAAGUUCUUCCUAGAAGGAAUCGGGUACUUCUAUUUGUUCUUAGGUUCUUCUCACCUAUAGCUAAAGUCAAAGACGACAAAACCAAGUGGAUUAUUGUUGUUACAAGAUACACAAAAUCAUCGAUUUUCUAUAAGAAUUUUGCUCAUGGUACAUGCCUUGCUUUCUCUAAAGCUUGGACUAUUGAGGAGGAACAUGCACUGAUUAAUGCCCAUCGGGUAUAUGGGAAUAGAUGGGCAGAAAUAGCAAAAGUUCUUCCUAGAAGAAAUCGGGUACUUCUAUUUGUUCUUAGGUUCUUCUCACCUAUAGCUAAAGUCAAAGACGACAAAACCAAGUGGAUUAUUGGAGUUACAAGAUACACAAAAUCAUCGUAUGGACCAACAAAAUGGUCUCAUUGCAAGGUGGACACACUGAGAGAAGCUUGGACUAUUGAGGAGGAACAUGCACUGAUUAAUGCCCAUCGGGUAUAUGGGAAUAGAUGGGCAGAAAUAGCAAAAGUUCUUCCUAGAAGGAAUCGGGUACUUCUAUUUGUUCUUAGGUUCUUCUCACCUAUAGCUAAAGUCAAAGACGACAAAACCAAGUGGAUUAUUGGAGUUACAAGAUACACAAAAUCAUCGGAACGAAGAUCUGAAUCACCCUCCCGCCUCGAGAGAAAUCAGUUUGGUCAUUCAUGUUCUGUAUGGACCAACAAAAUGGUCUCAUUGCAAGGUGGACAUAUAGGCAAGAAAUGUCAAGAGAGCUUCUUGUCACCUAUAGCUAAAAUCAAAGACGACAAAACCAAGUGGAUUAUUGGAGUUACAAGAUACACAAAAUCAUCGGAACGAAGAUCUGAAUCACCCUCCCGCCUCGAGAGAAAUCAGUUUAGUCAUUCAGGUUCUGUAUGGACCAACAAAAUGGUCUCAUUGCAAGGUGGACAUAUAGGCAAGAAAUGUCAAGAGAGCUUCUUGUCACCUAUAGCUAAAAUCAAAGACGUCAAAACCAAGUGGAUUAUUGGAGUUACAAGAUACACAAAAUCAUCGGAACGAAGAUCUGAAUCACCCUCCCGCCUCGAGAGAAAUCAGUUUAGUCAUUCAGGUUCUGAUCUAGACAUGAUGCUGAUGGGUUGGGUUUGCAUACAAUGCAGUAUGGACCAACAAAAUGGUCUCAUUGCAAGGUGGACAUAUGGGCAAGAAAUGUCAAGAGAGAGAGAAGCUUGGACUAUUGAGGAGGAACAUGCACUGAUUAAUGCCCAUCGGGUAUAUGAGAAUAGAUGGGCAGAAAUAGCAAAAGUUCUUCCUAGAAGGAAUCGGGUACUUCUAUUUGUUCUUAGGUUUUUCUCACCUAUAGCUAAAGUCAAAGACGGCAACACCAAGUGGAUUAUUGGAGUUACAAGAUACACAAAAUCAUCGGUCAUCUAA
rnacentral:rRNA from 1 species